rnacentral:rRNA from 1 species
GACGAACGCUGGCGGCGUGCUUAACACAUGCAAGUCGAACGGAAAGGCCCUGCUUUUGUGGGGUGCUCGAGUGGCGAACGGGUGAGUAACACGUGAGUAACCUGCCCUUGACUUUGGGAUAACUUCAGGAAACUGGGGCUAAUACCGGAUAGGAGCUCCUGCUGCAUGGUGGGGGUUGGAAAGUUUCGGCGGUUGGGGAUGGACUCGCGGCUUAUCAGCUUGUUGGUGGGGUAGUGGCUUACCAAGGCUUUGACGGGUAGACGGCCUGAGAGGGGGACCGGCCCCGUUGGGACUGAGAUACGGGCCAGCCUCCUGCGGGAGGGCACAGUGGGGGAUAUUGCGCAAUGGGGGGGAGGCGGAUGCAGCAACGGCGCGUGCGGGGUGACGGCCUUUGGGUUGUAAACCGCUUUCGCCUGUGACGAAGCGUGAGUGACGGUAAUGGGUAAAGAAGCACCGGCUAACUACGUG